rnacentral:misc_RNA from 1 species
GAUGAAGAACGUAGCGAAAUGCGAUACGUAGUGUGAAUUGCAGAAUUCAGUGAAUCAUCGAAUCUUUGAACGCACAUUGCACCUCUCGGUAUUCCGGGAGGUAUGCCUGUUCGAGCGUCAUUUGUACCCUCAAGCUCUGCUUGGUGUUGGGUGUUUGUUCCGCCUCUGUGUGUGAACUCGCCUCAAAACAAUUGGCAGCCGGCGUACUUGUUUCGGAGCGCAGCACAUUGCGCUUCUCGAGGCGGUCGAUCGGCGUCCACGAAGCUCACCUCCACCGUUUGACCUCGGAUCAGGUAGGGAUACCCGCUGAACUUAAGCAUAUCAAUAAGCGGAGGA